rnacentral:rRNA from 1 species
UACGAAGGGGGCUAGCGUUGUUCGGAAUCACUGGGCGUAAAGCGCACGUAGGCGGCGCGUUAAGUCAGGGGUGAAAUCCUGGAGCUCAACUCCAGAACUGCCUUUGAUACUGGCGUGCUCGAGUGUGGGAGAGGUUGGUGGAACUCCGAGUGUAGAGGUGAAAUUCGUAGAUAUUCGUAAGAACACCAGUGGCGAAGGCGGCCAACUGUCCCAUUACUGACGCUGAGGUGCGAAAGCGUGGGGAGCAACCAGG